ACGGAAUAGAUACCCUGGUAGUCCACGCCCUAAACGAUGUCUACUAGUUGUCGGGUCUUAAUUGACUUGGUAAACGCAGCUAAACGCGUGAAGUAGACCGCCUGGGGAGUACGGUCGCAAGAUUAAAACUCAAAGGAAUUGACGGGGACCCGCACAAGCGGUGGAUGAUGUGGAUUAAUUCGAUGCAACGCGAAAAACCUUACCUACCCUUGACAUGGAUGGAAUCCCUGAGAGAUUGGGGAGUGCUCGAAAGAGAACCAUUACACAGGUGCUGCAUGGCUGUCGUCAGCUCGUGUCGUGAGAUGUUGGGUUAAGUCCCGCAACGAGCGCAACCCUUGUCAUUAGUUGCUACGAAAGGGCACUCUAGUGAGACUGCCGGUGACAAACCGGAGGAAGGUGGGGAUGACGUCAAGUCCUCAUGGCCCUUAUGGG
rnacentral:rRNA from 1 species